UUCUGGAAGCUGUCUUUGUGCGUACCCUCCCUUGUGCUUUGUGGCUGUCUCCACACCCUGAAUUGAUUCAAAGCGGUUACCUCUCAGGGUCACUUUGACUUUGGAGGGAGAGCCAGAAGUCCCACCGUGCCGGAUCUGGUGAGUAAGCCGGAAGAGGACACACGAAUGUUUUAGGAACCUGCCCUUCUGCUGGACGGCACUGGACCUCAGCAUGCGUCAGGCUUUUUAUCACACCUCUUACAGACAUUCCCUAAGAGGACUUCCCGGAAUUGCUCCGAGAGGGGCAGGCGUAAUGGGGUUUAAAAACUAAAUCAGCAUUCCUUUUCUUGUGUUGGAGCUGCGUCCCCUUUCUGCUGCUAUAACAAAAUACCCAGGACUGGGGGACUUACGAUGGAGGGGGAUUUGUUUGGCUCACGGGUCUGGGGAGCAGGUAGUGUGGAGUGUGGCCGCUGGCCUCUGCUCAGCUUCUCGGAACUUGAGCUGCUUCAACUCAUGCCAGUCAGCUGACAAGCUCGCGGGGAGAGGAGAGACAAAGCAGGAGGUCCCACAACCCUCCGUACCGGGCUUUGAUUCCAGCGCAGGAACUUUUGGGAGGACAUGUUCAAACCACCCUGGAUGAUAACAAAAACAGAAAACCUGCAAGAUCUGGAGAAAAGACUUCCUCAAAAACUGAGGGCAUAUAUGGCUGCCAGCAGUGCCCCAAGGUGGUUUGGAGAACGUCACCCUCCUCCCAUCCAGAAAUUGAGCUGAUCCAAAGCUGAGCAUUAGCAUUUGUGAGGAAAUUCCUUAUAGCUGGAAAUCGCUUACGCCAUCCCUAUAUCAUGACUGGCUCUCCGACUCUAACGAAGCAGUUACUGUGGAGUGUACACAGAGUGUGGAC